UUCGCCCUUAGAGUUUGAUCCUGGCUCAGGACGAACGCUGGCGGCGCGCCUAACACAUGCAAGUCGAACGAGCGAGAGAGAGCUUGCUUUCUCAAGCGAGUGGCGAACGGGUGAGUAACGCGUGAGGAACCUGCCUCAAAGAGGGGGACAACAGUUGGAAACGACUGCUAAUACCGCAUAAGCCCACGGCUCGGCAUCGAGCAGAGGGAAAAGGAGUGAUCCGCUUUGAGAUGGCCUCGCGUCCGAUUAGCUAGUUGGUGAGGUAACGGCCCACCAAGGCAACGAUCGGUAGCCGGACUGAGAGGUUGAACGGCCACAUUGGGACUGAGACACGGCCCAGACUCCUACGGGAGGCAGCAGUGGGGAAUAUUGCACAAUGGGGGAAACCCUGAUGCAGCGACGCCGCGUGGAGGAAGAAGGUCUUCGGAUUGUAAACUCCUGUUGUUGAGGAAGAUAAUGACGGUACUCAACAAGGAAGUGACGGCUAACUACGUGCCAGCAGCCGCGGUAAAACGUAGGUCACAAGCGUUGUCCGGAAUUACUGGGUGUAAAGGGAGCGCAGGCGGGAAAGCAAGUUGGAAGUGAAAUCCAUGGGCUCAACCCAUGAACUGCUUUCAACACUGUUUUUCCUUGAGUAGUGCAGAGGUAGGCGGAAUUCCCGGUGUAACGGUGGAAUGCGUAGAUAUCGGGAGGAACCCCAGUGGCGAAGGACGGCCUACUGGGCACCAACUGACGCUGAGGCUCGAAAGUGUGGGUAGCAACAGGAUUAGAUACCCUGGUAGUCCACACUGUAGACGAUGAUUACUAGGUGUUGGAGGAUUGACCCCUUCAGUGCCGCAGUUAACACAAUAAGUAAUCCACCUGGGGAGUACGACCGCAAGGUUGAAACUCAAAGGAAUUGACGGGGGCCCGCACAAGCAGUGGAGUAUGUGGUUUAAUUCGACGCAACGCGAAGAACCUUACCAAGUCUUGACAUCCUGCGACGGUGCUGGAAACAGUACUUUCCUUCGGGACGCAGAGACAGGUGGUGCAUGGUUGUCGUCAGCUCGUGUCGUGAGAUGUUGGGUUAAGUCCCGCAACGAGCGCAACCCUUAUGGUCAGUUACUACGCAAGAGGACUCUGGCCAGACUGCCGUUGACAAAACGGAGGAAGGUGGGGAUGACGUCAAAUCAUCAUGCCCUUUAUGACUUGGGCUACACACGUACUACAAUGGCGUUAAACAAAGAGAAGCGAGACCGCGAGGUGGAGCAAAACUCAGAAACAACGUCCCAGUUCGGACUGCAGGCUGCAACUCGCCUGCACGAAGUCGGAAUUGCUAGUAAUCGCAGAUCAGCAUGCUGCGGUGAAUACGUUCCNCGGGCCUUGUACACACCGCCCGUC
rnacentral:rRNA from 1 species